GCUCCGUUAGUCUAAAGGAUAGGCAACUGUCUUCUAAACAGUUAAUAUAUAGGUUCGAGUCCUAUACGGAGUGCCA
rnacentral:tRNA from 1 species